AGUCCGCGAUGGCUUCCCUCGCGCCCCACCGUCCUCUUCCGGAAGGCGGCUCCCUCCCUGCGCAGCCCGGAGCCCCUGAGAUCAGCCUCGAGCAGGCGCCCGAGCGAGACUAUCCCUAAACGGGAACGGCGGUGGCCGACUCGCGAGUGAGGAAAAGAAGGAAAGGGCAGACUGGUCGCGAAGAGAAGAUCCAGGCCUCAGAGGAGGAGAAAGGCCGGAGCCAGCCGAGCUGUCACGACCGGAGGGGGGACUCGCAGCCUUACCAGGCACUUAAGUAUUCAUCGAAGAGUCACCCCAGUAGCGGUGAUCACAGACAUGAAAAGAUGCGAGACGCCGGAGAUCCUUCACCACCAAAUAAAAUGUUGCGGAGAUCUGAUAGUCCUGAAAACAAAUACAGUGACAGCACAGGUCACAGUAAGGCCAAAAAUGUGCAUACUCACAGAGUUAGAGAGAGGGAUGGUGGUGAAGUAAUCCCAAGAACAUUCUGUUGCUUAUUCAUUCAACAAACCUGGGGCAUCUACUGUGUGCCAACAUUUGUGUGAU
rnacentral:lncRNA from 1 species